rnacentral:rRNA from 1 species
GACGAACGCUGGCGGCGUGCUUAAUACAUGCAAGUCGAACGGAAAGGCCCUGCUUUUGUGGGGUGCUCGAGUGGCGAACGGGUGAGUAACACGUGAGUAACCUGCCUUUGACUUUGGGAUAACUUCAGGAAACUGGGGCUAAUACCGGAUAGGAGCACCUGCUGCAUGGUGGGGGUUGGAAAGUUUCGGCGGUUGGGGCUGGACUCGCGGCUUAUCAGCUUGUUGGUGUGGUAGUGGCUUACCAAUGCUUUGACGGGUAGCCGGCCUGAGGGUGUGACAGGCCACAUUGGGAUUGGGAUACGGCCAAGACUCCUACGGGAGGCAGCGGUGGAAAAUAGUGCGCAAUGGGCCGAAGCCUGAUGGAGCAACGCCGCGUGCUGAAUCACGGCCUUCGGGUUGUAAAGCGUUUUCGCCUGUGACGAACCGUCAGUGACGGUAAUGGGUAAAGAAGCACCGGCUAACUACGUG